rnacentral:lncRNA from 1 species
UGCUCAUGAAUUGAGUUUUUGGGUUAGGAGUUAAGUUUGAAGUAAUGGGUGCUGAAAGGGUGUCUUUUGAUUUUAAACAUGUGUACUCAGAUGUGACCAAGGAUAAUUUCAAUUCUAGAGGAGGUAAUUUUAAAGUGGAAGAAUCGACUUCUGGGGCUGAAGGGAAUGGAACUUUUGAUGAAUAUAGCUUGGGUAACUCAUCCACUCUCUUCUUUUCUUCACUUAGAUCAGCAUCAGUACUAAGCUCAAGUUCUUCUAUUGGGUUAGCUUCAGUACUAACCUUUUCUUCUAAAUUCACAUUUUGGCUAGCAUCAAUACUAGCCUCACUCACCUGAUCUUGGUAUAGGUCAUUAAGAAUCUUUUCACUUUUAAGCUCAGAAAUUGCAUUGUCACUUUCAAAUUGGAGAUUCUUAGGUGGGACAUUGG